CGCAUAUGUCUUUUUCACGAUGGUCUUCCAAGCCAACUGGGCUCUGAGGACACUGCCUCUUGGCAAGACCGAUGUGGCCUU
ensembl:snoRNA small nucleolar RNA SNORD35